rnacentral:tRNA from 1 species
GCCUGCUCCAGCUCCUGGAACUGCGCGAGGCCGUCGAGGCCGGCCUGAUCGCCCGCCUCGCCGGUUCCAUACCGGCGGCGGACC